rnacentral:rRNA from 1 species
CUACGGGACGCUGCAGUGGGGAAUAUUGCACAAUGGGCGCAAGCCUGAUGCAGCCAUGCCGCGUGUAUGAAGAAGGCCUUCGGGUUGUAAAGUACUUUCAGCGGGGAGGAAGGGAGUAAAGUUAAUACCUUUGCUCAUUGACGUUACCCGCAGAAGAAGCACCGGCUAACUCCGUGCCAGCAGCCGCGGUAAUACGGAGGGUGCAAGCGUUAAUCGGAAUUACUGGGCGUAAAGCGCACGCAGGCGGGUUGUUAAGUCAGAUGUGAAAUCCCCGGGCUCAACCUGGGAACUGCAUCUGAUACUGGCAAGCUCGAGUCUCGUAGAGGGGGGUAGAAUUCCAGGUGUAGCGGUGAAAUGCGUAGAGAUCUGGAGGAAUACCGGUGGCGAAGGCGGCCCCCUGGACGAAGACUGACGCUCAGGUGCGAAAGCGUGGGGAGCAAACAGGAUUAGAUACCCGUGUAGUC